rnacentral:rRNA from 1 species
AGAACCUUACCUGGGUUUGACAUGCGCAGGACGCCGGUAGAGAUAUAGGUUCCCUUGUGGUCUGUGUGCAGGUGGUGCAUGGCUGUCGUCAGCUCGUGUCGUGAGAUGUUGGGUUAAGUCCCGCAACGAGCGCAACCCUUGUCUCAUGUUGCCAGCACGUGAUGGUGGGGACUCGUGAGAGACUGCCGGGGUCAACUCGGAGGAAGGUGGGGAUGACGUCAAGUCAUCAUGCCCCUUAUGUCCAGGGCUUCACACAUGCUACAAUGGCCGGUACAAAGGGCUGCGAUGCCGUGAGGCGAAGCGAGUCCUUGUAAAGCCGGUCUCAGUUCGGAUCGGGGUCUGCAACUCGACCCCGUGAAGUCGGAGUCGCUAGUAAUCGCAGAUCAGCAACGCUGCGGUGAAUACGUUCCCGGGCCUUGUCACACCGA